rnacentral:rRNA from 1 species
UACAGAGGGUGCGAGCGUUGUCCGGAAUCACUGGGCGUAAAGGGCGCGUAGGCGGCCGGGUAAGUAGGGGGUGAAAUCCCACAGCUCAACUGUGGGGCUGCCUCCUAGACUGCUUGGCUUGAGCACGGUAGAGGCUGGUGGAAUUCCCGGUGUAGCGGUGGAAUGCGUAGAGAUCGGGAAGAACAUCGGUGGCGAAGGCGGCCAGCUGGGCCGUUGCUGACGCUGAGGCGCGAAAGCGUGGGGAGCAAACAGG